rnacentral:pre_miRNA from 1 species
CACAUACUCCCUCCGUUCCGAAUUACUCGUCGCAGAAAUGGAUGUAUCUAGAUGUAUUUUAGUUCUAGAUACAUCCAUUUUUGCGACGAGUAAUUUGGAACGGAGGGAGUACCUU